UUUUUUUGUUUCAAUCACACCUGAUUGCACUAGUUUUUAAAUGUAGGUAGUUUACAAUAUCAUCAACGAGUCGCUAAUGGAAUAGUUAUGAUUUAUUUUAUUAUUUUGUUAUGCUUUGACAUGACCUACUGUUCGUCCGAGUUUGGCGAAGGAACAGACGUUAAAAAAGACGAAAGCGAAUUGUUUGUCAGCUUCGACCCUACGAACGAGGCGAAGAAGAAAAUCUUGUCGGACUGGCACCGGCUGGCUGUGAGAGAAGGCGUCGUCCCUGCAAUUAGAGCUCUGCGGGAUGAAAACAUCAGGGCGGUUAUGGUCCCGGAGGACGACUGGCGCUGUCUCAUAGCGCAGUUGAAUAAAAUGAACCGCAGGUACUCCCUGGUCGGCUGGCUUCUACUGAUUUUCCUCUCCAUCGUCUUAGGCGCUCUCUUUUGCGUCCUGUUCAGCAUGUACAAACGCGGUUACUUUUUCAGCCAAUCUGACGACACGUGCGUCAAUAACUACAAUUAUUGGAAUAACAAUAGGGAAUGCUACGGAUGCCUAGACUCAGAAUCAGAAGGGUUGCUCAGGAUUAAAAAAACAAAUAAGCUGUAUUUAUCAAAAUCACUGGAGGGAAUGAACUCUCCGUAAAAACGAAGUGCAAGUAUACAACAGGAAUAAAAAUGCCCCUGAAGAAAGAAAGAAUACGAAAGAACGAGUUGGACUUCUCCGCUCUAUGUCUGAAAAUAUAAAAUAGUGAACAGGAGUUGGAUGAUACCCUGGAGGUUCCAGAACUGUACAGAAUAAAUAUGGAAUGAAUAUAUCUAAAUCUUCAGUUUACGCGUCAAUAAAAAGUGUCAAUAUC